GUGCUUGCUUCAGCAACACAUAGACUAAGAUUAGAACGAUACAGAGAAGAUUAGCAUGGCCCCUGCACAAGGAUGACACACAAAUUCAUGAACAUUCCAUAUUUUU
ensembl:snRNA Gm22297 predicted gene, 22297